UACGGGAGGCAGCAGUGGGGAAUAUUGCACAAUGGGCGCAAGCCUGAUGCAGCCAUGCCGCGUGUAUGAAGAAGGCCUUCGGGUUGUAAAGUACUUUCAGCGGGGAGGAAGGCGAUGUGGUUAAUAACCGCGUCGAUUGACGUUACCCGCAGAAGAAGCACCGGCUAACUCCGUGCCAGCAGCCGCGGUAAUACGGAGGGUGCAAGCGUUAAUCGGAAUUACUGGGCGUAAAGCGCACGCAGGCGGUCUGUUAAGUCAGAUGUGAAAUCCCCGGGCUUAACCUGGGAACUGCAUUUUGAAACUGGCAGGCUUGAGUCUCGUAGAGGGGGUAGAAUUCCAGGUGUAGCGGUGAAAUGCGUAGAGAUCUGGAGGAAUCCGGUGGCGAAGGCGGCCCCUGGGACGAAGACGUGACGCUCAGGGUGCGAAAGCGUGGGGAG
rnacentral:rRNA from 1 species